rnacentral:rRNA from 1 species
AAUGGCCCAUGCGACUGUUUACUAAAAACACAGGUCUCUGCUAAAUCGCAAGAUGAUGUAUAGGGACUGACGCCUGCCCGGUGCCAAAAAGUUAAGGUGAGGAGUGAAAGGCAACUGGAAGCUCCGAACUGAAGCUCUGGUAAACGGCGGCCGUAACUAUAACGGUCCUAAGGUAGCGAAAUUCCUUGUCGGGUAAGUUCCGACCUGCACGAAUGGCGUAACGACAUGGGCGCUGUCUCGGCGAGAGACUCGGUGAAAUUGUAAUACCGGUGAAGAUGCCGGUUACCCAUACCAAGACGGAAAGACCCCGUGAACCUUUACUAUAGUUUGAUAUUGGGUUUUAAUGUUGCAUGUGUAGGAUAGGUGGGAGACUUUGAAACUGGGGCGCCAGCUUCAGUGGAGUCGCCCUUGAAAUACCACUCUUGUUGCAUUGGAAUUCUAACUCCGGCACGUGAAUCCGUGCCGAGGACAGUGUCAGAUGGGUAGUUUGACUGGGACGGUCGCCUCCUAAAAUGUAACGGAGGCACCCUAAGGUUCCCUCAGUGCGAUUGGAAACCGCGCGUAGAGUGUAAAGGCAGAAGGGAGCUUAACUGCGAGACGGACGCGUCGAGCAGAUGCGAAAGCAGGGCUUAGUGAUCUUACGGUGCUGUGUGGAAAGGCCGUAACUCAUUGGAUAAAAGGUACUCCGGGGAUAACAGGCUAGUCGCCCCCGAUAGCUCACAUAAACGGGGCGGUUCGGCACCUCGAUGUCGGCUCGUCACAUCCUGGGGCAGAAGCAUGUCCCAAGGGUUCGGCUGUCCGCCGAUUAAAGUGGCACGCGAGCUGGGUUUAGAACGUCGUAAGACAGUUCGGUCCCUAUCUGGUAUGGGCGUAGGAUAUUUGAGAGAUGCUGCCCCUAGUAUGAGAAGACCGGGGUGGAUGCACCUCUAGUGCACCAGUUGUCACGCCAGUGGCACCGCUGGGUAGCUAUGUGCAGAAUGGAGAAACGCUGAAUGCAUAUAAGCGUGAAACCUGCCUCAAGAUAAGAUAUCCCACAACGUUAAGUUGGUAAGGCUCCUUCGAGAUAAGAAGGUUGAUAGGCCAGAUGUGUACGCCGUGCGAGCGGUUCAGCUAACUGGUACUAAUAAGCCGAGGGCUUGAUAAU